GUACUUGCUUUGGCAGCACAUAUAGUAAAAUUAGAAUAAUACAGAGAAGAUUAGCAUGGAUCCUGCAUAUAAUUUUGAUCAUUGAUGCAAAAAAAUGCAAUAAAAUACU